rnacentral:rRNA from 1 species
GACGAACGCUGGCGGCGUGCCUAAUACAUGCAAGUAGAACGCUGAAGGAGGAGCUUGCUUCUCCGGAUGAGUUGCGAACGGGUGAGUAACGCGUAGGUAACCUGCCUGGUAGCGGGGGAUAACUAUUGGAAACGAUAGCUAAUACCGCAUAAGAGUAGAUGUCGCAUGACAUUUUCUUAAAAGUUGCAACUUCACCACUACCAGAUGGACCUGCGUUGUAUUAGCUAGUUGGUGAGGUAACGGCUCACCAAGGCAACGAUACAUAUCCGAACUGUGAGGGUGAUCGGCCAAAAUGGGAAUGAGACAAGGCACAGAAUGAUAAGGGAGGCAGAAGUAGGGAAUCUUCGGAAAUGGACGGAAGUGUGACCGAGAAACGACGAGUGAGUGAAGAAGGAUUUAGGAUCGGAAAGAUCUGUUGUAAGAGAAGAAAGAGUGUGAGAGUGGAAAGUUCACACUGUGACGGUAUCUAACCAGAAAGGGACGGCUAACUACGUG